rnacentral:tRNA from 1 species
GACUCCAUAGCCAAGCUGGUUAAGCCGUGCGACUGUUAAUCGCAAGAUCCUGAGUUCAAUCGUCAGUGGGGUUG